GCCGGAGUGGCGGAAUUGGCAGACGCGCACGACUCAAAAUCGUGUACCGUAAGGUAUGUGGGUUCGAUUCCCACCUUCGGCACCA
rnacentral:tRNA from 3 species